CCUACGGGAGGCAGCAGUGGGGAAUAUUGGGCAAUGGAGGAAACUCUGACCCAGCAACGCCGCGUGAAUGAUGAAGGUCUUCGGAUUGGAAAGUUCUUUUCUAAGGGAAGUAGAAAGUGACGGUACUUCAUGAAUACGCCUCGUCUAACUACGUGCCAGCAGCCGCGGUAAUACGUAGGACGCAAGCGUUAUCAGGAAUGACUGGGCUUAAAGGGUGCGUAGGUGGGUUGACAAGUUAGUAGCGUAAUUCCGGGGCUCAACCUCGGCACUACUACCAAAACUGUCGGACUUGAGUGCAGGGGAGGCAAAUGGAAUUCGUAGUGUAGCGGUGGAAUGCGUAGAUAUUAGGAGGAACACCAGUGGCGAAGGCAAUUUGCUAGACUGUGACUGACACUGAGGCACGAAAGCGUGGGGAGCAAACAGGAUUAGAUACCCUGGUAGUC
rnacentral:rRNA from 1 species